rnacentral:rRNA from 1 species
UACGGAGGGGGCUAGCGUUAUUCGGAAUUACUGGGCGUAAAGGGCGCGUAGGCGGUCUGCCAAGUCAGGCGUGAAAUUCCUGGGCUUAACCUGGGGGCUGCGCUUGAGACUGGUGGGCUAGAGGACGGAAGAGGGUCGUGGAAUUCCCAGUGUAGAGGUGAAAUUCGUAGAUAUUGGGAAGAACACCGGUGGCGAAGGCGGCGACCUGGUCCGUUACUGACGCUGAGGCGCGACAGCGUGGGGAGCAAACAGG